UACGUAGGGGCAAGCGUUGUCCGGAAUGACUGGGCGUAAAGGGCGUGUAGGCGGCCGAUUAAGUCUGGAGUGAAAGUCCCGCUUUCAAGGUGGGAAUUGCUUUGGAAACUGGUUGGCUUGAGUGCGGAAGAGGUAAGUGGAAUUCCCAGUGUAGCGGUGAAAUGCGUAGAGAUUGGGAGGAACACCAGUGGCGAAGGCGGCUUUCUGGCCAGUUACUGACGCUCAUGCGCGAAAGCUGGGGUAGCGAACCGGAUUAGAUACCCUGGUAGUCCCUGAG
rnacentral:rRNA from 1 species